GCUCAGACGUUAAUGCGGAGCGACACCCCAGAGCCGGUCGCGGACGGGUGCGGGGCUCCGCUGGCUUCCCGCCUUGCCUGGCCAGGCGACCGCCUUGAAGCAAGAGGUGAGGGCCAAGAGGUUAAAGAAGAACCCAAACAGACCUCAGCCUACAGCCGCAGGGGGCUGUGGUACUUCGGACAUGUCAAGAGAAGAACGCCCCCCCCCGAAAAAGACCAACGGAAAGCAGCAGGGAGAGCGGAAGACUAACCAAUGGAUGGAAUGAGCCUAAGGAAGCCACCGCCUUGAGUCCCGCAAGACCUGAACAGGGGCUGCUAGUCACGGGGUAAUGUCUUGUUCUGUACCGUGAGUAAACCCGAAACUCAAGGGCUGGGCAAGCAGAAUGCUUCUCUUUCAAUGCCUUGUGAUGGCAUCCACAAUUGCAGACAAUAACAACCUUAACCAAGAUGCAUGAAGCGAUGUUCUGAUGUUGGAGUUCCAAUAAUGGCCCAUUAAGACACAAGAAGAAAUGCUCCUACAUAGGUGGCCAGGAGGGCAAGGGAACUGCAACAACAGGCAAGCAAUGAGACAACAAAUGUUUUGAAUAUAAAUAACAUAUUGAUGAUUAUAGAUUCCCCGUAUG